GACAGAGGGUGCAAACGUUGCUCGGAUUUACUGGGCGUAAAGCGCAUGUAGGCGGGCGGAUAAGUCGGGUGUGAAAUCCCUGGGCUCAACCUAGGAACUGCAUCCGAAACUGUUCACCUUGAGUAGUGGAGAGGAAAGCGGAAUUCCCGGUGUAGAGGUGAAAUUCGUAGAUAUCGGGAGGAACACCAGUGGCGAAGGCGGCUUUCUGGACACUAACUGACGCUGAGAUGCGAAAGCGUGGGGAGCAAACAGG
rnacentral:rRNA from 1 species